rnacentral:lncRNA from 1 species
UUUUUUUUUUUUUUUUUUUUAAAGUGCUAGACAUCAUCUUCAUGAAUAACAUAAAAAGCCAUUAAGAUAAUGAUAGCGCUGUAAUUUGAAAAUUAAAGAGAAAAUAAACAUCAAGAAAAUUUGAAAACAACAAUAAUUCUUCCCACCCGCUUAUUCACUUCUCGUGUCUAAUGCACAUUAAAAAAAAAAAGAAUAGCGUCUAAUAAGGUGAUUAGUAUAACCAAAUAAAAACCUAUAAUGAUAUGUUUCUUUCAAACAUGAUAGAUUUAGUUAAUUUUCAUGCAGAUAGAUUAGUAAUUCUGAGAUCAAAUGAAAUAUUACAUAUUACAUAUUAAUUGUUGAUGAGAGCUAAAAACUUUAACGCCACAACAACAUAAUGCAAGUCAAUUAGGGAGAAUUGAGUUGGGUGAUAAGGUGAGAGGGAUUAUAAACAAGAGGUUUUAGAUUCAAAUCCUUUUACUUAUACAAAAAAAAAAGGAGAAAAAGAAAGAAAAAGUCAAUUAAAAACUGGCACUUGGUUCGGCCCAUGUGAGAAGCUUUGGACCAGAAGAAAAAGGCCGGAGCACAAAGAGAAAUGCGUAGUUCCAAAGGGUCCAAUCUCAAUGGCCCAAGAAGUCUAAUAUCCAGACCCUGUAUGAACCACCCAUAUCCUGAUCGGCUUCUGCACAAAAUUAUGGGUCCAAUCUCAAUGGCCCAAGAAGUCUAAUAUCCAGACGCUGUAUGCACCACCCAUCUCCUGGUCGGCUUCUGCACAAAAUUAUUGUAGUCUCCCAUGUACUCGAACCCCUCUCUCUCUCUCUCUCUCCAAUUAGAACCCUCACUAACCAAAAAAUAGAAUUGUAAAACCCCGGAUGUCUUUUCCAAUCUUGUCUUGAGGAAAAAGAAAAGAAAAGAAAAGAAAUUAAAUUAAACCUGAAGUACUUCUACUGAGGGCAACCAAUACUCCUCCAUUGCGUGCUUAGUGUGUGAAAUCGUAAUAACAAUUCGAGAAAGUUUUUGAUCGGGAAAUCUAACUAAACAUGUUUCGCAAUCAAUACGAUACGGAUGUGACGACAUGGUCGCCGGCGGGGAGGCUAUUUCAGGUGGAGUACGCGAUGGAAGCGGUCAAACAAGGUUCGGCGGCGAUAGGGCUGAGAUCGAAGACUCAUGUGGUUUUGGCUUCCGUUAACAAGGCCAAUUCCGAGCUAUCUUCUCACCAGAAGAAGAUCUUCAAGGUCGAUGACCACAUCGGAGUAGCUAUCGCCGGACUCACCGCCGACGGCCGCGUUCUCUCCCGUUACAUGCGGUCUGAGUGUAUCAAUUAUAGUUAUUCUUACGAGUCUAAGUUACCUGUCGGACGCCUCGUUGUCCAGCUUGCUGACAAGGCGCAGGUUUUGUUUUGUUCUGUUUUUUUCCCUCUCUUCGUUCGAUUUAUUUGAUUUUUUUAAUUUUAUGUUGUAUCUGUUAGUACACCUAACUUUUUGUUAUUCUGUUAGUUUGUAUUUGUUCUAUGGAAUUUCAGUUUGUGAAGUUUUAGUGGACACUUAGGGACAGAGUUUUAGAAGGGAGCAUUUAGUGGAUUGAAGCUGGAUAAUGAAAAAUUUUUGUUAUUUGUGAUUUUUAGGUUCAAUCUGAUCGGAUAAUUAUGAGAAAAUGGUUUAUCAGAGCCAAAUAGUGUCGAUUAGUUUCUUAUGGAUAUUGGACAUACCUUCAGUGAGGACCAUGUCUAUGUGGUGCAACGAGUGCUAAAUUGGGUGAGCGAAUGCCUGAGUGGUGGCGGUGUUUCUGAUCCAAUUUAUGGCUAUUCGUAUAUCAGCUGUGCCAUGGUUGAAAUAUAAGUUUAAUUUUGUUGUCCUUUUAACAUAAUCCUAAAGUCACAACAUUUAUGUCUCACAUGCUACAUUGUUUGUUCAAUACAAAGUAUAUUGAGAUUUUCUUAAUCUGCUUGCUAGCACACACCUUUGAAUAGCUUGAUUGGAGUCCUAAAUUCAUCAAUGACAUGCUAUAUGAUGUAACAUGAAUUAUUACUGUCUUAAGAAAAGAAAGUAGAAAUUAUUAAUGUGAUAUAGAUUGGACUAAGUUAGCUUAUCAAAGUUUACGGUAAAUUAAUUGGUGCUUCUUGUGUAAAUAGUUUUCCUCCUUUAGAAUUUUUUUGGGUAACAUCGAGUGUGUUUGGAUAGGAGAUUAUUGGAAAUAUUAUUUAGAAUAAUUACUGUAGCACAUUUUGCCAUAUGCUGUAUGUGAGAUAAAAAUGUGAUUAAGAAGAUAAAAAAAGGUGUGUUGGAAAAUGUGUUUGCUUUACUUUGAUAAACUUUUGUUAUCAAUUCCCAUUGUUUUUUUUUUUUUUUUUGGUGGAUGGUCUUUUCUUUGAAAAAGUUUGUAGAUAAGUGGCAUCUGAUUACUGUCUAUUCAUGGACUGACCCUUAUUUUUCUGUGAAAUUGUUUAGAUGGGUUAUUAACAUAUGCAUUGAUUAUACUGUUACCCAAACAAAAAAGAAAAAGGUAAUAUAGCUUACCUGUUAACAAGUUUACGCAAUGACAAUAUAGCUCCUGAAGUUGCAAAAUUCAGGCUUGAAGCUGUCUGAAGGUCCUGAUUUGUGAUAUCAUAGUGUAGUGACUGGCAGGCUAUUUAGUGACAAAUUACUCUGUGUUCAUUUAAAAAGAAAAAAAAAAGAAAAGAAAUGAUGGUGCUUCUUUGGGGUUUUGUUCAAUUUCAGAGCAGCUCACAGGAACUGAACCCGUGAAACCAUCAUGUCUAGGCUUUGAAAAAAGAAGAGGGGGGGGGGUUGCUGUUGUUACAAUUUUUCUGGGGGAAAUUGUUUUGCAGAACUACUGUCACUAUGUAAUGACCUUUGCUUGUUUGGGUUGAGGGGUUGCAUGGUUUGUGCUCAGUCCAGCUUUGCAUGUGUUGGAAAUGUUCCAGUCAGUCUGAUGUAUGGAAUGCUGUUUUAUUUUGUCAUUCAUGUUUUGUAGUUGCCUGCUUCAUCUCUAUCCCCCCCCCCCCCUCUUUUUCCUCUCUCUGUAUAUUAAUUUUUUUUUGGCACACUUGAUGAUCAAACCUGACUCUUGAUGGAUCGACUUUUGAACCAGGGUAUUACCUUAUUGCUACUAGUGUGACAGAAACAAAGUUGGCUAAUGGCUUUCUUUGUAAAGGUUCUACUAGUGGAUAACGUCAAGAUUGUCUACAUAUAAUAAUAGUUUGCAAGUCACAUUUGUACUUCUAUCAGCAGUAUGGAGCACCUUUGGAGUAUUGUCUUGUGGAAUCUUAUUGUUGCUUCGGUCUAUAUAACUUGGGCUGCCCAGUUUUCUGAUCCAAAAAUGCCAAGUAAUUUGGAAUAAAUCUUAAAUUUUAUGCUGGUUGCAUGUAGAACUGUUAUUCUUAAGAUUCUGGUGCAUUGCAUGGUACAUGCACUGCCUGGUCCGUCGGUUCAAAUAUCCUGGCUGUUUACAGUUGUCUCCUCAGGAGCUGAGCUUGACGAGCUAUCCUCAAACUUUGCAUGAUUUUGAUGUUGACCUUGUUAUUUUAUUCUUUUGAAUUUGUUGAUGUAGGUUUGCACGCAGCGCUCCUGGAAACGGCCUUAUGGUGUUGGUCUGCUGGUAGGCGGUUUAGAUGAAUCUGGAGCUCACCUUUAUUACAAUUGCCCUAGCGGUAAUUAUUUUGAAUACCAAGCAUUUGCAAUGGGGUCUCGAUCACAAGCAGCAAAGACAUACAUGGAGCGGAAGUUUGAGACUUUCACGGAGUCCUCACGAGAGAAUCUUAUCAAAGAUGCACUUUUUGCAUUGAGGGAGACCUUGCAAGGAGAAAAGCUGACAAGCUCCAUUUGCACGGUUGCUGUGGUAGGAGUAGACGAGUCAUUCCACAUAUUGGACAAGGAAACUGUACAAGCACUCAUCAAUGAAUUUGAGAUAGCAGGCGAAGAGGCUCCUGCUAAUGAGGCUGCUCCCCAGGAUCAAGGGGGUGAUGCUCAAGCAGGUGCCGCUGAUCAGGGGCCUACUGAUCAGGGGGUGGCUCCAAUGGAUAUAUGAUGGUAUUUGGGAGGAUGAGAGUUACUCUUUGAUGAAUGAUGGGAUCUGCUCGAGCCGUAGACAAAAAAACAUGUUCUUGUUGGAUAUUUGAUUUUCAUUAUGCGGUCUUUUGGUGCUUCACUAAUGCAAACAUGUUAAACUUUCUUCUCUUAGACCCCAAGCUAAAUUAUUUUCCAGAAUGAGUUUCUGCUUUCUGGUUGGACAUUGCUGCAUUAUGUAUUGCCUUUUAAUAUGUCGUCCUCUAAAGGGAGAGGAGCUUUAGUUAUGUGUGACAAAAAUUCUAUUUUAUUGUCAUAGUUGUUUUCCUUUGAGGAAAAAAUUGGAAUAAAUUAGAUGUGUAUGUAUUAAAAUGAAAAAAAAUGACAGCAAUAAAAUAAAACAAAAUAAUUGACAAAAUAAAAUAAAAAGAAUUCCAUAGUUUUUUUUUUUUUUUUAACAAAAAAAAGAGUAAACAGCUAACUAGAAAUAACUGAAUGUGGUGGAUCAUUAACACCCCACCAAUGAUAUAACGUUCUUACAAUUUAAGUAUUUACUUUACUCAUGUUUAUCAAUUUUGUUUGUUACCUCUAACUCGAUAUAUACACAAUACAUUUCUUGUAGAGAGUCAACACUUGGCAUUAGAGUUGGAGUCAUGAUUUAUCUCAAAAGGUCAAGAUUUAUUUUUCGAAAAACAUAUCCAUAUAAGAGUACAAAAAUUAAAAACAUUUUUACAAAACUUGAUUAAAAGAACUCAGAAAUAUAACAAUUAUUCCAUUCUAAAGUUAACAAUUCCAAAGAAUUGUAGUAUCUCAAAAGUGUCAUAUUUUGUAUUAUUACAAUCACGUGCAAUGCACGUGAGGCAUUAUUAGUGUGUAAAGAAGUGGACUAAGCAGGUUUUGUUUAGCAUCAUCACUACAUGCAUCCAACAGUUAACAGGAUGUUAAAGUCCAGAAAGAUUGGUGAGAUGUUCGAAAUUAAUCCUUGCAGGGCUAAGAAAAUAUUAUUGGGUUUGUUUGAAUAGAGGAUUAUUUGUCAAAAUUUAUUUGCUUACAUCAUCAAUACAAUUUCCAACACACAUUUUUAUCUUUCCAAUUACCUUUUUAUCUCACAUACAUCACAUCACAAAAAGUAUUACAGUAAAAAUAUCUCAAAUAAUUUACCAUUUUAUACAUCUUGUCGGCAUCCAAAUCCAAGUUAAGCUUUCAUUAGUCGGUAGCUUAAGCAAGUAUGGUACUCCCAACUUUUGGAGUGCCAUCCAGUCACAAUUCAAUAAAUUGAGUUGAAACCAGUACAAACAAGAAACUGUAGAUUGCUUAAACAAUGGCAUUAUGCGUAACAUAGGAUUAAAACUUUCUACAACUUUCCAAUGAAAAGAGUGGUUGAUAAAUCAAAAAAAUAAAAAACAUUAAGAGGGCCUUCCUUAAACAUGAUGGCCAAGCAAAGAAUCAUCUAACAGCAAUGCCAAUAAUCUUCAACUCCGUUAGAAGUCGGAAUUUGCCGAAUCUGGGACUGUAAGUCCCUUGUUUUGCAUCUGUUUGUACAUCCACUGCCAAUUUUCUCGUGUUACCUCACCCCCGAGAGAACGGAUCACAGACCCACCACUACAUGAGCCUAUUUUGCAACAUUCCUCCAGUGAUAGUCCCUUCAUCAGUCCGUACAAAAAUCCGCCGGCAAAGAGGUCUCCAGCUCCGGUGGCAUCAAUUGCCUCUUUCUUCCCGGUUGCUGGUACUCGCACAACCUGAAGUUCAUAUGCAUCUCAACCCAUCAAACAGCGAGCAGGAAAAUAUUGAACGGCGAACUAAAUCUUAACCCUCACCACAGAAAUGAAACAGUCCAAAUACACCACAUAUAAUAAUACUACACGUAUAUAGGCUCAUCAAAUCUUGGAUUUUGUUUUGUUGGUUGUCUUGUAACCACCAAGUUCAUUAUUUGCAACUACUGCCAAAAAUAUAGCGAAGUAAACAACAAAUAUAGCAUAGCAAACAUAUAUUUGUAUCCACAGAUUGGCAUCUUGUAACCAAAGUGGAAAUUGUCAUGUUCAACCAAGAUUAUGAAGUGGAUAAUGAUUGACAUGAAAAAAAACUUGAAAAACUAGUCAGACCAAGGAUUAUUAGCCUUCUAUAAGUGGCCAAGCUUAUCCAAGUGAAUAAGUAAAUCACAUACCUCUUUUCCAUUCUUAGCUAGGCAUCCACUUGAACCCAAUGUCACCACAGCCCAUUUGCAGUAUUUUGACAAAAAUUCAAGGGCUACCUCAUAAUUGGCAUCCUCUUUGGCAUCCUCUUCACCCCUACAAGCACAUCAAGGAGAAACACCAUUGACCUCAAAUUUCACCAACGAUUGCAAGAUUCCAAUGUAGAGCUCUUCAUAAAUGUAAACUACAUAUUUAGUCUGAGGAUCCAAAACAAUAGAUGAGAAAUUUAAGCUACAAUAACCUUAGUAGUUCAAUUGCUUCAUCCUCAUUGGCGAAGCAUAGAUCUAUGUUCCUUGACUCUAGUAACUGCAGAAGUGGUAACCUAAAAUUCCGUACCAUCUGCUCAACAGUAAGGUCAGCAGUGAAGUUAGGGGUUGUGGCACUCAUACUUAAAGGUCAUGCUACACUACAGAUCUCAUUAUAAACUGAGUGCUACACCACAGAGCUUAAUAUAAACUGAUAUUGGAGGUGGCUUAAUAUAAAAUUUAUUGCUGUCCGAUAAGAAAUGACUUUCUUUCAGGUGUUUAUUCCUGAUAACAACCCUAAACAAAAAAUGCAUUGAACGGCAGGGGGGAAAAAACCCGAAAAGAUACUCUGUUGGUACAAAAAGUGCUUCAAGUGAAGAAAAAUAGUACCUCAAAACUGGCUAGAUCCAAGGAAACAGAAAGACCUUCUUCCUUAGCCAUUUGGAUAGCUGCCUGAAUGAUGUCCAAAUUAAAUAUGGCAUAUCUCACGACCAACCACUGUAAAAUAGAAUAACAGAAUUAGGAGUUAUUAAAUGCACUUCAUCAAACACUGCAUUGCAAUGGCUAAUAUUCAAAACAAAGUUUGUGGUACUAUUAAUCAUUAGUUCAAAAUGAUGGAAAUAUGAGUUUGAAGAACAUAGAAUUAAAGCAAUUGAGCAAGAACUCCAACUGCAGUCAACAAGCAUUUUGAUUGACAACUGACAUAAUUCUCAUUAUGACGUCGAUGUGUAUUACCUUGGAGCCUCUGAAAUCUUCUUUUUUAAGUUCAUUUGCCUGUCAAAAAUUUAGGAAAAUGAGGACCACAGGCAAAUUCCUCCUCACCAAGCAAAAACCUCUAUAAAUGCCAUAUUACUAGUAUCUAGACUGAAAACAGCAAGUACCUUAACUUUCACAGCAUCAGAGAGGCAUGGCCUCAUUGUGCGAUUGCCACGUUCAUCAACCAAGCAAACACACUGCAGAAUUAGCAUACAAGAUUUCAGCACUCUGGAAUUUUUUAAGAAAUUUUUAUGCAUUUAAUUAAAUGCACAAUGUAGAUGCAACAAUAAACUCACCUGAGCUGUUGGACCACUCUUCAAUCUCAAUCUGGACAAAUCAACUUUGUAAGAGCUCAUAUUAGUCCUAAACAAUCUGCCUUCUUCAUCAUCACCACAAGCCCCAAUUAUUCCACAAUUUACCCCGAAGCCAGCAGCAAGGCCUCUAAUAGUGUUUGCAACACUGCCUCCAGCCAUGGUUUUCGAAGAAGAUGAAUUGUCAUGAGAGGAAAGAAUAUGGGUGUUUACCUCACUCAAGAUACACUUCAGUUCCUCAGCAGUAACCUGUAUACAGUAGAAAGGGAAAAGAUAGAAGCUUUUACACAGCCGGACAAUUAUAUUGAACAACUCUAAAUAGUUCUCAAACAGCAGUGGGAACAUCCAAGUUUGAUGUUGAAUCACUGGUUUUACAUCCUAGAACAAUGACAGGAAGAAAACCACAAACAAGGGAAGGUUGACACCCAACCACACAGAAUACAACCAUUGUACUUAUAUCACCAACUGACAACAAUAUAUAAUACAAUGGACGAGUCACAAAGACAACCAUCGUAUCCCAACCACAUCUAGUUGAGAUCAAAUAUCUUCCAAGAAAGAACAAUCAAAAGACUACAAAAGCAGCCCGUCUAAUCACGAGAUGCUGUGACCUCAUGGUUUAGAAAUAGACAACAUGUUAAGCACAAUGAAUCCUAACAGUAAAUGAUAUUUUUUUUUUGGCUUACGGAAUGGUAUACUCAGUAAAACAGGAAUUACGUGCCUCCAAUUCUCUCUCCCGAAAUGUUCUACAUCAGUGUCUGGUGAGGAUUCUGCUUCUAGUCCAUAGUUACCUUAAUGACUAAUAAACUUAAAAGCCAAGCACUCCUUGGAAACCAAAAGUCCCAUCUAAAGAAUUCACCUGAAUUUCAGCUCCAGUGAUCCAAUUCAGCAAUCUAAGUAAAAUUCAAUCUUUCACUUUAACUAAAAACAGAGACAUUGUUUGGGCAUGCAUCAAUUCAGUAUUCAAUUAAGUUUAGAAGUGUUUGAAAAUGAGUGAGUGAGAGAGAGAGAGUACAGGAAAGGAGCCACCAGGCUUGCCGGAGAUUUCAGAAAGGAGGAACAAAUCAACUUUAGCUACGUGGUCAACCAAGGCGGCUGGUUGUAGACCCAACACCAAAGGUGGAGGCCAAGUAGCACUGGUUUCUUUUCCAGUCUUGUUAUAGUCCCUAGGCUGAAAUUCAACACCCAUCUCUUCCUCUUCCUAGAUUUAGGUAAUCAGUCGGCCGAUGAAUGGUCCAGAUGAAGCUUCCCUUCCCUUUGGGCGCCUGCACUCCGGCAAUGGGACGUUGGAUCGCCCUCCAGCCUCCUUCCCAGCUUUCUAUCUACUCUGACAUCAUGGUAUUUAUAGACAGGCCCGACUACUGAGAAGCGACUGAACAAAACAAUUAUCAGAUGUUGUAGUGUGUAAUUUUUUUUUCCCUUUUCUCUUCAGUUCUAAAUUUUUUGGACUAAUUAAGGGUUACGUUUUUUUUUUUUUUUGUACUUUUAUCUUUUCCAUCUUAUAACAGAAUAAAUAAAAACAAGAGGUCAUGCACUAUUGUUUCUUUUGUCUUUUCCCCUCAAUUAUAAUGGGAAAUUUUCAAAUUUGGUACAAAUUGAAGUAAUAGUAGCCUAUAGUAAGAUGUACGUCCUUGAAUAAGAAUAAAAAUUUUCACCUAUAAUUGCAUAUUUUCAUUUUAGAAGUAUCUCGACUUCAAAGAUUAUUCUGACUUUUCUUUUAAAUUUUUUUCAUUACAAAUGAAGUUUUUUUUAUUACAGGUAAGAUUCGAAUCCUCAACCUACAAUCCAAAGAAGGAUUUAGUCAUACUAGCCCAUUCGUGUUAUGUUAUGUGGUUGUGCAGUACAGGACCUGAUUUGGGCGAAUUACCUAGAAGCCAUGUACUUACUAUAAAGUUAAACUUGGCAAAAGGAUGUGGUGGAACAUUUUUUUUUUAUUUUAAUAUUUUACAAAAAAAAAAAACUUCACUUGAUUUGCUGAUUCUUUGUGCAUGAGUAAAGCUUUUUAUAUGCUCGUACAUAAUUGUGUUUGUUCACCAAAAUCCACUUUCAACCAAAAGUACCAUUAGAAGUGAAAUAUAGUUUAAUAAUUUGGUGCUACAUGCUAAGAUUGGACUACUGGAAGCAGCAUAAUCAAGGCUUAAGGACUCCAAUGAUGGUGGGAAUUGGGCAGUAGUGUACAUGACCAUUUUUAUUUCUUGGUCGAGGAAAGUGGGCGGCAGGAUCAUAUGGAAUUAAACUACAUUUGUUCGUUCGACUUGCAUUUCCUGCGUAGAAUAGCAGAAUCUAUCUCAUUGAUUUUCGUUUGAAGAGAAGAUGAUUCAUACAUGUUGUGGCUCAUCAAGAACUAUACAUGAACUAUUCUCUCGAUGUUGUACAUUUCUUUUUCUCGUGUAGCCUAGUAAAAUUAGGACACUCUGGAAAAAUGAUCAAAGAAGCUUCACAAAGGGUUUUGUCUCUUGUUAUUUGGUGGUUCUCCAUAUCUUAUAGUAUAUAUAUAGGAUAACAUGCAGAUAUUCUUCAUCCACCUUUCAACACUAAUUAACUCGGUUCUACAUCUAUUCUUGGUUGGUUAACUACUACAAUGUCGAAUAGGGCAGGGAGGUUUUAGUUAUUCUCAAGAUUUAUCCUAAUCCGGGUUAACCUUUUGUUUAUGCUAGUUGUGGGGAUUCAAAUCAAGAGGAGAUGAUCAGCCCUGCACAAAACAACAGUACUAGCUAGAGAUCACAUGACCAGAUUCUAACGUAAUAGCCUCUAACGGAGGAUAUGGCCGAAAGAGCGGAUGGAUGGAUGUAAAGCCACCAGCUGUAUACUUCCAUCAGCUACUGCAAUUUUGUGUGGACCAAAGAAAGCAGCCCACAACUUUCUUGAUUUCUUGGACUCAUUUUGUCUUGGAACUUUAUCCAUAGGGAGGCAGGAGGGAGGAAGAUGGAAUAAUUGAACAAUAAAUUUUUUUUUUUUUUUUUUGAAAAAAGUGCAGAGCCUGGGAGACCUCAAUUAUUUGAGAUGUUGAAAUAUUUGUGGUCAUUGUUCUUUGCCUGGAAGUAUAUUAUACACUAGGAAUUAAGAAUAGCAGGACUUGAGAUGCAUCUUUCAUCUAAAAGUUUUAAUUAGCUUUAAACGAAAAAAAAGAAGAAAAGAAGUCAAUAAUAGGAAGACAGGGGGUCCAAUCCACGCAUACAAGUUCAAUUGGCAAAGAAUCCAGGAGAGCCAAACAAAUAAAAAGAUUCGAAUCAUGCAUGCUUGGAAUGAUUGAGAGGACAAAGGACAAGCCCUUUUGUUUUUAAUAUAGUCCAGAAAGCAGCUGAAUUUCCGGGAUGGCUCAUCUUCUUUGCCUCUUCCUGCUCCAGUCGGCCAACACUUUUCAAGAUUCCACUUUUGUUAUUCAAACUUUUGGAUACGCAACAAUUACAGGGAAUAUGUCAGUCCUUCCACAUAAUUAUAAUUUACUUCUGAAAGAAGAAGAAUUACUAGUAGUUUAUUAGUACUUGCUAUUUGUUUCUCCAAUCAUGCUCAGGCUGAUGCACAUGGAUUAGCCAUUAGAUCCUGCUACAGCUAUAGCCUAGCAGGCCGGGUCAUUUUAGCAGCAUAUGGAAUAAUUUUCAGGCAGCAAUUUGAGGUCCACAAAAAGUAUUCACUACAACCCCCCUUUUUUUGUCUUUUUAAUUUUCUUUUGGCGUUAAGAAUUAAGAAGAGAUGAGUUUGAGCUGGAACUAAUCAAACAGUUUGACAUACAGCAAAAGAGAUAGUAGUAAUUUCGAAGUAUAACUGAUCCACACUGUCUGAUAAACUUCUCCAGAACUUAAAAAGGAUCAGAUUGGUCGCUCAAGAUUGGGACGUUAGCUCUACAGGAUAUUCAAGAAUAAGGAAAACAAGAGAACGUUAGACGUUGCGUAAAAUAAAGGGUAUCAGCCAACAAAGGGCGGCUAUUCGUGCAUAUUGCUCCGCAACAUUGGUUUCUCUCCGGAGAGGAAAAAAGCAUCUCCGGAGAUAAAGAUUAGCUAGCUGAGCCAGAAGUUCAGAUGCAAGUGUCGUGAUGCAUGAAUCUACCCUUAAAGAAGUCUAUAGUGUUAUUCUGGAAGGAGGUGACCGACCAUUUCCGGAUUAGAUAUUUGCAGAGGAUAGCUUCUACUGACCAUGAAGCCUCGAGGGGCAAGCGAAUAGGUGUAAACAUACUAUCAAACUAAAAAAAAGAUCUUACUGGGUGCCCUUUUGUGGUUUAUCUGGUAAGAUGUUAUCUGGAAGAACGAGUUCUGGUGGAGUUUCACGAAUAACUCCUAGCAUUGAAUCAUACUCCUCGUCACGGCGAGAAUACUUCUUGCGAAGAACUUUCUCAAAUUCAAUCUCAUCAAAGGAUUUUGCAUUUUCAGCAGCAUGGACCUGUGCUAGGUUGCAGUAAUUGGUUGCAGAUUGGGAUAUAAAGGCUAUCUCUUCAUCACUGAGCUUUCUGAGGACCUUGGCUGGAUUACCUCCCCAGACCUAUGGCAAAUUAGCAGAUAUCUCAGACAAAGCUGACAAAGACUAAGACUUAAACGUCAAUAGAACCAUAUUUAAAAAACAACAGCAUCAACAUUACUUUCAAAAGGAGGAAAAGAAAAAGUAAAACCAUUGAGCUCUCCUUUUAAAUUUUGGAAAGAAUGGGAAAGAUUAAAAUAAUUGCCUGUCCACUGGGGAUCCUCAUGUUUUGCCUCACAAGGGCACCCGCAGCAACCAUGGCAUGCUUCUCCAAGACUGCUCCAUCAAGAAGCGCAGCUCCCAUACCAACAAAAGCCUCAUCCUCAACAGUACAGCCAUGUAAAACAGCACUAUGACCUGCGUGGAUUCAAUUUGAGUACUAUACCAAAAGUCGGAUAGGACUCGUGGGGAAAAAUAGAAAGUUUCAAUUUCUGACCAUACAUGAAAGCAGAAUCAUUAAACAGGAUGCUCACCAAUAGUUACAUUAUCUCCAAUGAUGGUAGGAAGCACUUUCCCGCUUAGAUUGGAUUUUGCCACAUGAACAAGGGAGUUAUCCUGUAUAUUAGUUCCAGACCCAACAGUGAUGCUGUUAACAUCUCCUGCAGAUAAAAAGAUGGAUCCAGAUGAAGGUUAGUGACAGAUAACAGCAUUCUCUUCCUAUUUCUUGUCUCCUUUCUUUGGAAGUUAAGGGUGUAGAGGAAAAUUCUUGAACCAAUUUUGCAUGUUAAAUCUCAGAUGAAAAGGGUGGUCAUAAGUUCUCUUAAAUGUUAUCAUCUUGUAUUCUCAAACCCCGCUCCCCCCCCCCCCCCCCCUCCUUUUUUCUUUUCUUUGGAGUCGCAUGGGCAGCAGAAGUAUGCAAUCCCACAGUGAGGGUAGCCCUAUGUUCCUAUCAAAACUUAAGCAGGCAGCAACAUAAUUUCUGAAUGACAAAUACCUUCAAGAACUAAUCACCUCCACAAAUUCAAAAUGAAAUUCCACAGGUCAGAGAGAGAGAGUAGGCAAAAUGGUACAGUAGUGGGGUGAAGAGAAGUGAAUGCAACUGGAAAGGAAAACAAUCAUUUACGUGCAAAAAAAGUACUGCCUGAAUGGGCAUUACUUUGGAAAAUCUGGAAGUGGCAUAAAAGAAUGACAUACAAGAAUGAUCACGAUGAAUACAAAGGAGGGUACUUAAAAACAUAUCUCUUUCUCUCUCUGGGCUUAGAAAAUUGCAUCCUAAAAUUUCAGACAAUGAUGUGCACAGCUGCAGCAACCUUUUUACCCUUCUUGAAGGUUAUUAAUCAUUUUGAUAUCUUUUUAUUUUCUUUUCACACAAAGACCCUUAAGGACAUGAAAACAAGCGUAAUGUAUCAGAUCUUUCAAGAAUAUGUAGAUUUAGUUUCUCAUGCAACAAGUAACAAAUUCUCGUUGCAUUCUGAUGGUAUUAGAGCCCUAAAACUAAAAGAAUACCAAAAUCGUUCAAAAGGAAUAUCAUAAGCAAAUACUAUAUACUUUAACAACUUUCUUAAGCAUCUGACUGAAGAUAAAAUGCAGCAAUAUUUCAAAAUUGAAUCUCCUUGUACAACAUCAGGCAAACUUCAGAUGUCUGCUUUCUUUUUUUACAAUUAAUUUUUUUUUUGGGCAUGUCUGCUUUCUUCUUUUAACUGAAGGGCUAAAAAAUUUUGCUCUCAUAUUACUGAGCAGCAAAAAAUUUAGUCAUAACCAAUUGAAAAAAUUAAGAAAACCAAAAAUCAUGAAGAGGGACCAUAUGCCACAUGCAGAAGUUAUAUUCGAACUCUUCUUUGGUGUCAAAGUAAUAGCUAUGAAUAGUCAUCAACCAAGCAACAAAAUGACUGAAAAACUGCUGUUGAACAUCCUCCAGGCAUGUAACAGUCUGAAUUGCUAUGGAUAUAAACAUAAUUUCUGAGUGAAGCACUGACCUCUCAGAACACAUCCAUACCAAAUAGAUGACCCUCUUCCCACUUGAACAUCCCCAAUGAUGGAGGCACUUGGGGCUACAAAGGCUUCCUUAUCAACCAGAGGAGCUUUAUCGAAUAUGUUCAUCAAUGUACGGUGUCUAGACACUGAAGAACAAACAAGCGAGUAAAAAUGCAGAAGCAAAAUGCAGCUCAUAAGAGAAUUUGGUAAUUGACAUUUAGGGAUGGGAUAGCCAAUAACUAAGCAAAAACUGGGCACAGAAGUGCAUUGAAUGAAAUCUGAAUCAACAGGCUUAAAAUGUGCUUUGAUUCAGAACGCUAGUAGCCAGGAUACAUAUAAGUUGCCCUACGAGGGGCCUUAAGGUUACAUUCAUCCUCAAAAAGUGCAAUUAUAGGGUCAGGAAGUAUUGGCACAACAAAGAAAAUAAGUAAGAUGAAAAAGUAUAGGUAGCAAAAUCUGAAGCACCAAGCAUACAUGUUCAUCAAAGAAAAAACUAAAGGUCUAAAAUCGAUCCAAAUGCAGAAUGAAAAUUUCCAGCACGAGUUCCUAACAUGUACUUGAAACUACUGCAAGAGUUUCAACUAAAACACUUCAUACUAAUUAAAUUUAGUAUUGCACAUUUCUAUAACUUCUUUCCUCGCAUUUCCUCAUUAAAUGUCAUCAGAGAAAUGGUUUGAACUUAACAUCCCACAUAUGUAUAUUAUGACACACAUAAACCAUGAGGCCAUCUAACUCAUUUGAAGGGGUGAUCCAUAAAAUAGAAUCCCUUCCUCUUUUUUUUUUUUGGUUUUUUGGUCACUCACCAGCAAAGAAUUACAUAAUUCGCUCCCCACUAAACCGUCUCAGCAAGAUCCUAUUGCCAGUUAAUUUGAGCAAGAUUAAAACUUUACCGGAAAAAAUUGACAAAUAGCUCAAUUAGCCCAACAAUCUGAAGAUAAACGAAGAAAAGAAAUUUAGAUGGGCGUCAACAUUUGUCAACAUUUGUACCAAAAGAAAGAAAAAAGAAAAAGCUGUGGACGCAAGUAUGUUAAAGGUGAGAAUGAGGUGGGCGCAACUUACAUUGUUCUUGGAAAUAAUAAUUUCCUUGGAGACGGCAGCCAAGGCGAUCGAGGGCUUGACCCGUCUCUCUGAUCCAAAACCCAACUGUAUACACUGCUCUUCCCAGGGUUCCCAUGAUGAUGAUGACUCAGGAUUGAUAAUCGAUCAGCUCCUCCAGGAGAGGUGUUUUAUGGGGUUUUUCCAGCUAAGACUAAGGGUGAGUCAGGGUUUUAGCCGUUUGGAUAGGCCUUGGAACUUGAAGGGCAUCUUUGGUAAUCGGCAUGCAUAGCAGACCUCCUGUUUAUUUGAUGGAGUCACAUUUCUCCUCUAAUUUGUUCUGUUAAUUGCAAAAUAGGCUCUUGCACUUUCAUGUGCUACAUUGCUGCCAUUACAUGAUACGGUCUUUCUUUUUCCCUUUUUCUUGAUAAUCAUUUCAAUAAGGUAAGCACUCGAAGUACCUCUAAUCUAAAGCAUUCUGAUCACACUUUGUUUUGAUUGCUGCUUAUUAAUAGCUUAUUGGGACGUGCUUAGCAAUCCAUUUUAGACUUUUGGAAUUUUAGGCGAACCUUUUUACGAAAAUCCCCUCAAAAAAAGAAGAAGAAAACUACUGUUUCCCAUAAUUGAGAUUUUGGGGAUAUAUUUCAAAAUGGAAUGCAACAAAUUUACUUGAAGUGUAAGAUGGAUGCACAUUGAACAAUUUCACCGUUUAGGUCCAGUACUCCAGUCUGGUUGGAAUUUGGAAUUGAAUACUCGGAGUCGGAGGCAUGUAAUUUUUGUUCUUACAGCCUUUGGAAGUGCCAAGAAAAACUGGAAUUGUACCAAGGAAAUGAAGAGAUUUCAAUACUGUUUCACCUGGCUGAAGUGGUACAAACUUAAACACUCUGAUAUCAUACAGACAUGUUACCUUCACUUAAUUAUGCUACCUUCACUUGAUGAACACAUAAUAAGAGAGUGAGACAUGAAGCGUUGAUUGAACUCCUUCAACGUAUAUUUCUACUGUUUUUGUAUAAAAAACAUAAUCCGAAUCACUUGCUUUUGUCAGUUGAUCCAUGUAACAUCAAGGUACAUAAAAGCUUCGAAUGGAAGAGGCGUAUGGCGAUGGUAAAUUCUCAGUCACACCAACAGCAAAGUGGCACAAUGACUUUUCAAGGGUGUUCUAAUAUUUGUCUUGGAUAGUUCAGCUCCUCAUCGACUCCUGAGGCGGCUUGGAACGGUUGCCGCUACUGCGAUAUAUGUCUUGCGGGUUUCUUGCGUUGAAGGAUUCUACACUGUUGAUAUCCUGAAUUUGUUGACUGGACUUCUAUCCCCUAAGGCUGGAAGCUUUAGAUGGUGUUCCGUUGCCAGCUAAUGUCUCCGAUGAAUUUAGGCCUUUUAUUCGGUGUCUUCCUGGAUUCAGAUUCUGGUGAGAGUAGCUCCUCUUUCACAAAUUCACAAGAUCUAGGAAGAAGUUAACAAAGUUUAGCAGAUAACAUAAUCUUGUAAAGGGGUCAGGGAUGCAAAACCGACAUGUCAAAUACAGAAGUGCUGUUAGUUUCUUCUUUGCUGAUCGAUUGUUGAGUUACAGAUUCUUUCCAGUUUGACCUGUACUGCUAUUAAUGGAUAGUACUGUUGUUUAGAACCCGUUCAAUCAACGUCAAUUUUUCGGUUCUGUCUCGAGCUGUUUCAAUUUUACUAAUAUUAAUCAAACCUUCUGACAUAUAUUCUACUUCUAAAUGUGACAACUUGGCAUUCAUCAUUAGUUCAAGCGGUGACUUUUUGAUCAGCAUACUCUUCCUAGUAUUCGUUAGUAGAACCUUCAUUCUCAGUUCAUCUAAACAAGUACAAGAAAAACGGAGUAACCCGUUGCAUAAGAACAUCUUAUCAGACGGAGAAAGUGACUCGUUACCCUUUUCAACAGCGAAAUGACCCCUCGGCCUAGGAAAUUCUUAACACACUGAGGAUUAAAUAUGCUUCUCAUGAUACUCAUCAAAUAUUGCUAGUUUGUUCUUCGGAUAUGAAGAGGAUUCCGUGGAGGUUUGGGAGAAAGUCUGCGUUCUAUAGAGUCCUCUGUACAGCGUAGCAAUACCAAUGUCCAGGCUUUGAGCAUUUCAUUAGUCCUUGACUCGAGUUCAACAAGACAUGCCAGAUCGAUUGUUAAUGACAAAAGAUUUUUAUUGGUGCAACAAACUUCCAACAACUCAACACCAGAAGGCACAAGGUCAUUAUCAAAUAUCAUCCCAAUAUCUGACUUUCUAUCCAUGACAUCAUAAUACAAAUAAUAGUGUAUACCAAACAGCAUAGUGGGUUAGAAUCUUCAAACAUCACUUGCUAAUUGUUUCUUAAACAUGGCCAGCUAAAGUGACAAAAAGUCUCCUCCUACCACCCCCCCAACCCUAGAUAAAAGCCUUCAGAAGACUUGAUCAAAUAUGUAUCACUCAAGUUUCUCCAACAAAUGAGUGGGAGAACUUUUGUCUUGAUUUUGUUCUUCUGGGCACUACUCACCAUUGUCACCCCUAUGCUUGUCCGCUUGUCCGCUUCUGCCAAACCCCACGUUGAAUUCAAGGCCAAGGGUAAGAAAACCAAGAGAUGUUUGUUGCUCAUGUAAUUUUUACACCUUCAGAUUUCAUUUCCAAAUUCUUGUUUUUCAGAAGCAAUAUUUGGUCACGGGAAGAAGUAAUUUUUUGUUUUUCAGAAGCAGUACUCUAUUGAGCUCAAUGCCAAUUUGCUAUAAGUUUGACUUAUAUUGGGGUAGCAAUUAGUGCAAGGUCCUGAACCAAGAGGAAAAUGAAGCAUGAUAAUUGGCUUUGGUUUACUUUCUUGUAGGGGAAACACGAGAGGAGAUGUACACUAGGAGGUUUUUGGAGAUGUUGCCUAGAAGAGCACUUGUUCCUACAAUGCUGCACAAGGCUCCAUUGGCACCAGAGCCACCAGCUUCCGCACCAGCACCAGAACCAGAACCAGAACCAGAACCAUCAUUAGUAGUCAAUGGCCUAGAACUUUUUGUAGAUGGGGAUAAAUUGAUACCCCAUAAAGCACAUGAGCUGCUGCUCAGAUGAAUUUGGUCCGGAUUAUUGAGCAAACCAUCAUGAGACAAGUGUUCAUUUUUAUUGAGAAGGUGGUUGGGCACGAUUGUAAAUAGAAUGUUGGUAGGUUAUUUUACCAUAGAAUUUUUUUUUUUUUUAGUAUUCUUUUUUUCCCCCUUCCCUUGUGGUUAUUCUCAACAAUAAAAAGCACAGAUAGAAAAGUAUUUAAAUUUACAGACUUCUAUUAACAGGUUAAUUUUGAGCUCAAGGGCAAUAAGAGUGGAAAAUUGAGGAAGAAAUGCAAUGUGUUUAUAUAUAUGAAAGAAAGGAAUAUAUACAAAUUACACAUAGUUCAGUCUAUAUUAAUUCCAAGAUGUCAUCAUUUUCUUUAAUCUUCUUCUUUCUUCUUUCUAAUUUUUUUUUUUUAUUCCCAUCCAUUAAGUUUUGCAUUGGCGAUGGAUAUGGUAAAUAUACCCUGUUCUUAAAUUUUUUUAAAAAAAAUCUAGAUGGGCUCUAGUAUUGGGCUGAAAUACUACAAUAAAACCAAUCUAGAUUCUUUAAGUUGGAUGGGCCGCAUGUGUGGCGUCCACCGUGUAAACAAUGAGAACGGGGUCCUCCUUGUCCAAUUCGUGAAGUAAAAGUAAAUUUUUCUGUUUGGUUGGCAGGAAAAUUGUUUGGAUACUGUUAGGAAUCUGUUACAAAUCACCCCAAAAAGCCCAUCGUCUUUAUCAUGUUCGGACAGUGUUAAAAAUCUUGAGAGGAAGAAUCUGGGUGAACAUCUAUUCAAAUGUUUGGUUUAUAAUAAUUAUGUAACAUCAGAUUGCCAUAAACAUUCCUGCAAGCGUAAUGUGGAAUUGUUAUUGUGAACCCCUUGUUUACAUAAUGGAUGAAACACACCGUGCUUUAGUUCAAUGGGGACGUAUUUGAGAUUAUAAAUAAACUUCCAUUAAAGGUUCCUUAACAAAGUUUUGCUGUUGACAUCAUUGCUGUCUCUGAUUAAAGAAACACGUCAAGAGUGAAAUUCAAGCAUCCCUAAUUGAACAACCACCGGACACAAUCAUCACAGGCUUGGGUUUAACGUAUAAUUAUGCACCUGCCACUCGACAACAAACGUCAAACUCUUAGUUCACCACAACGGCAAUGGCACAGUUAUGAUUGCGUGUUGUCAAAGCUAGGGGUGCACACAACUCAAGCCGCUUGUGAGUAGCUUGAGUCGGAGGUCGAACUCGAGUUCAAAGAUAUUUCGCUCAUUAACUCGUGAAUCUACUCGAUUAUAUAUAUAUGUAUAUAUGCAAUGAUACAGUUAUAAUUGCAUAUUGUCAAAGUUAGGAGUGCAUACAACAUGAACCGCUCGUGAGUCGUCCGAGUAAGAGGUUGAACUCGAGUUCAAAGAUAUUCCGCUAGUUUAUUCGUGAACCAAUAGUGAAAUUACAUAUAUAUUUUUAAUAUUUUAUUAUUUAUUAAGAAAAAUUACUAUUUUAUUCAUGUUUUUUAAAAAUAAAAUAAUUAUUAUUUUUUAUUUUUUUAAGCUCGAACUCGAGUUUUACAUUGAGAGUUCGUCGAAUUCGAGUUCGAGUUUGAUAAAAUUAAGCAGAGAAUCGAUUUGAUUAGGGCAAAGCUCUUCUCUUUUGCAACCCUAGUCAAAGCCUAUUCUUUCAAUGGUCGCAUUAGUGUUGUAUUUACUGCCAUGUCAAUUACAUUGGCCGAUAAUCCCACAAAGAGUCAGAAGUUAUUAGCAGCAAUUCACAAGAUUGAAUUAUAAAAUGAGUUGCAAAGUGAUAUGGCAAAAGCAUUGUAGAAAGUGGAAAACGACUCGCUUCAUUACUACCUCAUCAUUCCCACAAAGGGGCAGAGAAUGUACAACACUAAUAUGGAUAACACUCCUCAUAUAUUUGAAACAUGAGCUAAAAAUAUGAAGUAAAACCAAAUGUAGCAGAAGUAUUUAACAAAGAUCAUUACAAGACAUUCAACACAAAGGCUUUGACAAAGUUUAUCAGCCAAGGCCAUGACCAUAUUAGAAGACCGAUGAACUUCUCAGACGAAUCGAUCAAGGUAAUCCUCGACAGUGGUGUACUUGACGUCAGGAUAAAGCUCUGAAGCCUCUACACCAAAAGAUGGCUCAAUUGUAAAGUUGGUACUAUCACCGUUAACCAGAAUUGAAUGGCGGAUUGAUAAUGCAACAUUGAGUGGAGUUGGAGCCUCUGCCAAGAAAUGGUCCAUCAGAAAUUUAAACGCUAAUAAUUCAUACAAUAAGGUUUGCUAAGAAGAAUAAGGAAAUUGAAAUCAAACUUCUUAUCACCUUGGAUGUUCUUCAGGACUUGUUCCUCAGGAAUAUAUUCCUUCUCCAAAGUUUUACCAAUCUUCUUCUCCCAUAUGGCCACUAACUCAUUAAAUGAUGCAAUAUUCUUAGGAGGCAUAAUGUAGACAACUUUGUUCAAUGUUCUUGGAUCAUCAACAGUUUUGAUGGUGAAGGUGCCAAUGUCAUGUUCUUCAUUGUAAACCGCUGCAAUUGAAACAUUAGAAAAAACAUAUAUAUGAAGCACCAACACAAUAUUCACGUUCUUACAGGAUAACUUGGGCAGAGGAUAAGAACAUGAUCAGGUGAAGUAGGUGAAAAAGAAUAGCCGAGUGAUAUUGUAUGCCAUACCUUUGGCAUUUCCAUCUCCCCAGAUGACAACUUUAUCUCGUGGUGGAGCAGUGGCUCCUGGCUGUACCAAGGUUGCAAGAAAAUAUCCAGCAAAAGCGUUAGAUACGAGAGGGGUGUAAGGGAUCCCUGCUGCCUCGGUAGCUCUACGAAUCCGAGACUUAACUGCAAAUGCAGACUUGCCAGGCUCAACUGCAUUUUGGCGAUCCACAUCAAUUCCAAACUCUGAAGGGUAGAAUUUCUGAGAAUUUCGCCAUAUCAUGUGUCAGAAUUUGGGGAUGACAGUUGAUAAACUUGCACAAAUUAUACUCUAGUAAAAUUUCUUUCCAAUCUGCAAUCUUUUUGUUGAAUUCACAGAUUGUCAAGAUCACAAUGGUUUCUCACGAUGACUAAAUCAUCCUCAAUGAACUUCUGCCCAGCAGAUAGGCUAAAAAUCAAUUGACAUUCAAUUAUGCAAAUUGACCAAAUUAAUCAUAGUUGCUUCUCCACUCUGAAAAUGGGAAGUACUAUAUCCACGACUCACAUAUUAUCAAGUUCUACGAACGACAUAUAGAACCCUCAAAUACAUGAAUUUCAUGUGGAUUAUCAAAAUUUAAUAUAUUUCAACAACUAAAACCUUUGAUUAUCUAAAUUGCAGCGCUACAAAUCUGCAGUGAGCAUUCCUGAGGAAAAUUGUGCUAGAGCUCAUUAGCAAUUACAGCAUACAUGUAGCAGUGUAGUGAAAGCAAUGACAGAAUAAUCCAAGAAAAACAAUAAAAGUAAUCAAUACAUUCUCCUAUGAGAAUCAUUAGUAACAAGACCACAUAAACAACACACCUUGACAUUUCCAGCUUCUUUAAUUGCGUCAAUGAUCUUCCCCUGAUCAUUCACUUGACCGAAACCAACAGUUGAUAUGACCACAUCCACCUGCUUUAUGGCUUUCACUAAACUUUCAUGAUCAUACAAGUCACCCUGCUCCAAGGAAGAAUUCCAAUAUCAAGGACAAAAAUAUACAUCACCAGCUAAAAGGGGGAAAAAAUACUAAUAAUAAAGGAAUCCCAAUUGACGAUACUCUCUUGGAAAAAAUUAACGCUGCUUACAUGAACCAGAGUCGCACCGGAGUUCUUGAAGCCUUCAGCAAGUUUUCCCUUAACAGGAUCAGAAACGGUAGAUUCUCUAACCAGAACAAAGGUGGGAUGCCCAGCCUUAAUGCUUGCCUCAACUAUAAACUUGCCAAUGUAUCCCGUUCCACCAAUGACCAAAAUCUUGCUUUUUUCUGCCAUUCUUGAAUAUUCGGAGAUAUCUAAAAAUGAAGGGUUGUGGAGAGUUUUUUAACUGAUGCAGCAGAGCAGGGAACGAAUGAAGUGUUGGGACGUUGGCACACUGAGGAACUCUAUUUAAACAGUUUGAGGAUUGGUUUGGGAGUUAUUAGAAAGACCUUUACGUCACUAGAAGCAAAGGAAUCGAUUGAGUUGUAUUUGGUCGAUGAUAACGGUUAGGUACAUCUUCUAGGUGACCAGUGAAAAUAUCUGUAAUGAUCUUAUUAGCUAAUCUUAGGAUAAAUGACAUAUAACUCUCUCGUGAUUUUACAUAAUGUCAUAUGAAUUUUUUAAAAUUUUAAAAUAACCACAUAAUUUACCUACAUUUUAUGUAAAGUGAAAAUCCGAUGGAAUAUAUGGACGUUAAUGAAACUAAAUACCCAUUUAUUAAGAAAAAAAAUAGAAAGGAAUAAAUUUGAUAAGGGUUAAUUUUUUUUAUAUAAUAACGAUAAUGGGCCUGUUUGGAACCUGAGUUUUUUGGGAGUUUGUCUAAAACUUUACUGUAGUACACUGUAAAAGUUUUUGAAAAAAUUUGUGUAAAAUUUUUUGUAAGGUGAAAAUUUUUUUUGUAGAAGUUUUUAAGAGGAAAAACCUUUUUUUUCUUUUUCUUUUUCUCUUUUUCUUUUUCUUUCUUUUCUUUUUCUUUUCUUCUUCUCUUCUUCUUCUUCUUCCUUCCCUUCCCCCUUCCCCGUUACCAGCCCCCCUCCCCGCAGCAACGCAGCACCCCCUACCCCUCCCCCUCUCCUUCCCUCUGCCGUCACCCUCCCUCUCCCCUUCCCCCUCCCUCCCUUUCCCCUUCCCCUUCCCCUUCUUUCCCCUGCCACUCCUCUUCUCCCCCCCCCGCCACCCCCCUGCUCUCCACCCCUUUUCCUCCACUCUCCUUGCCACCCGCCACCCAUAUUCCUCCCCUCUCCCCGCCACCCGCCACCCCUUUUUCUCUCCCGUCACCUCUUCUCCUCCCCUCUCCGCCGCCGCCCCUCUUCUCCCUCUGCCCCGCCAACCCCCUCUGCCCGUCACCUUCUUUUUCUCCUCCCCUUAUCUAUCCCUGUCACCCUCAGCAGCCCCGUCGCCCUCGUGCGAACAGAUUGCAGCUCCCCUCCCCUCCACUUUUGCGAUCUGGUAAUGGGACCAGAUCUGGUCGCGGGAGGGGGAGGGUUGCGGGGGACACACAAAAAAAAAAGAGGAAGGCAGUCAAAUUGGGUAAAGGAGGAGGAUGGCAGGGAGAGGGAGAAAGGCAAAAAAAAAAGAAAAAGAAAAUGGCGCCGGAGGUGGUGGUGGUCGGCGACGGAGGUGGUGGACUGGGUUGGGAUGGUAGAGGAAGAAGAAAGCCAAAGGGAAGGGAAUUUUUUUUAUGUGUGUUUUGUGUAUUGGGUUGGGAUGGUGGAGGAAUUUGUGUGUGUUUUGUGUAUUUUGAAGUGUGUAGGUAAAAAAUUUUGAGAAGUUUUUUGGGUUCCUGUAGCAAAAGUUGUUAAAAAACUUGUAGGUAAAAAACUAGCCCAAAAAACUAGCUUCCAAACAGGGCCAAUAUUUUUAUAAUCUAAUAUAGGAGGCUAUGUAUAAAGAGCUAAUAAAUAUAAAUACCUACUUAGAUCAAAGGAGCGUUCUGAUAUUUUUUAAAAAAAAAAAUUUCGCAUGUAGGAUUCGAAUUCAUAACCUACGAUCCAAGAAGGAACUACCCUCUUUGGUGUUUGAAAGGUGUAAAGAGUUGUGACGUGAAUUGAGAGGAAAAUCUUACCAAACACUGUUCACUUUUCUCGCAUUAUAGUUUAUCUCACAAUGCGAUGAAAUUUCUAGAUUCCUUCAAGGUGUCAUCUCCCGAAGAAGACAAAAGGGUGUUCGUUACAACUGAAAAAUAAUGUCUAAAAAUCUGAGCACUAAAGACAUUUAAAUGCUAAAAUAUUUUUGGUAAAUCCAUUAAGUGAUACAUGUUUCAUAAUCGGUUGAACUUGAAUAUUGCACUGCGUGUAUAUUAUAUAACUAGGUACUCGUACAAGUUAGUAAAUAAAUGAGCCGAUUCGAAUUGAUUAUUUUGCUUUGAGCUCGACUUAUUAAUCUAACACGUGGGAUAUUUUAUAACCAUAUCAUUUUGCGCGGAGUAUACAUAUACAAUUAAGCUCAUCCUAAUCAAGUUUUACAUUUAUAAACUCCUAAAUACCCCACACGCGAUUUAUCGCAAGUAUACGAAUCGUGAGCGAGUAUAGGGUAUUAAGGGUCGAUCCCACAAGGAAGAUUGCAAUUACCGGUACUACUAAAGCUUCUCUAUUAUUUAGAGUAUCAAUGAAUUAUAACAAAUUAAAACCUACUAAAAUUAUGCAAGAAAAUAGCAAAUGAAAGCUCCUUAGGUUGUGGUAUCCCUAACUACUCAUGCAAGUGCUAUAAUUGGAUCAUUGAAUACUACUAUCUAGGCUAGUUAUGGUGUAAUUUCCUUAAACAUAUGAAACCUACUUUCGUAGUGAAUCAACUAUACUUAUAACUAAUUCAUACCUAUUUUCAUGGUUAUGAAAUUAGCUACAAGUUCAUUUCUUCAGUGAAAUUACAUGAAAUGAAUCACUAAAAACCACAUAAGUGCACCUCUACUUUCGUGAGUGUACUCCCUAUGUUUAGCACUUCUUGAACCAGUGUUAAAUCUCAAUUUUCAUUGCAGAAACAACACCUUAGAUAAUCACAAUCAAUGGUACCAGAUUAAUCAUGAUUUAAAGAGCCAAAGUGCUAAAUAACUUGCUCAAAUCAUAGCAAUCAAAUAACCAAACAAUUAACACUAACAAUCAUAGAAAGUUCAACCAAACCCAAGGCUUAAACUUUAGACACACAUAUUGAACACAAAAUCCAGAACUUGUAUAUUAACUAAACUUGGAAUUAAAUACAAAAGAUAAAGAAUUUGGAAGGAAUACAACCCUUGUCACAUGAGCUUUCUUCCUUGCCUUCUUCAUCCUCCAUCUUCAUCCUAAUCUAGAUAAUAAACAAGAAUGGAAAAGCUACACUACUCUAUACUAAGCUAAACUAACACUAGGAAGAUGAAAGAGCUACAUUUCUGCAACUUCAAGCUUCUCCCGUAUGUCUCUCUAUUCUAUUGUUGGAUCCCCCCAUUCCAUUCUUCUUGCAAUGAAUUUGGCUCUUUUAUGAUGAAAGGUGGUCAAGAAAUGAGGAUUACAUCUCCCUUUUACAGCUGGGAAUGUUUCUCACAUGUAUAGCAUCACAUGUGAGUUGGUGGGAGUGAAAUUGAGUUUUACGCGUACAGAGCAGCCUUUUCUGACCGCAAUCCGGCCAGAAAUCCGGCCGGAUUGAUACAGUGACCAUUUGGUCACUUCUGGUUCAAUUUCCAGCUCUGCUCCGAUUUUGACUCAAUUUCAACUGCAUUUUUCUUGAUGAUAAAAGCUGAUUUAGCUCUUGAACAAAACAUGAAACUUGUAUCCCUUUGAGUUAGCUUUCCAAUGCAUCAAGAAUCACCUCAUUUGGAUCUGUGUAGGCUGAGAAAUGACCGAAAUACCCUUACCUGCUCAUUGCCCUGUUCCAGCUUCGACCAGUAGAAAUUUGCUAUUAUAAUUCGGCAUUUUGACCUGGAAAACCUUCAAACUGGAUUUAGAUGUCUUCACCAAAGUUGUAGAUCUAUCUCUUAUCUUCAAAUGGGUUCAAGAAUCAUUCCAAUCCGAUCAUUGUAACUCAAGUUAUAGCCGAAAUACGAAAAUGUGUCAAAACUGUCAAAAUACACAAAAUCCAAGUAAAAAGUGAUAAAAACCUCAUUUAAUCACUUAAAAACAUUUAUUCACCAAUUAUAGCCAAAAUGAUUCAUAUUCUUCCAAUAAUAUAACCAAAGUGACAAAAAAUAAUAUAAAAUGUCAUACAAUUAUUACGUAAAUUAGUCACUUAUCACAUUUCCUUGAUGCUAGAAAUGCGGCUUAUAAAGAAAUUCUUUGUUUGGUUUUGAGUCUAAAAUUAUGUCAAAUACGACUUGGAAAGAAAUCACGAGUCUGAUUUGAAAACAAGCUCGACUUUGUUAACACAUGAAUUGAGCUUAAAUGCGCUCGAACUUGAAAAAACUCAAAUGAAUUCCAAUAUACUAUAGGAAAUUGUGGCUCGACAAAUUUAACCAAUUUAAUCAACUUACUAAACAAAAAUAAUUCCACAAAAUAUAAGAAGGUGUCCAAAUACUUUUCAUAAAACAAUUUUUAAACAAUCAAGACAAGUUUAAUGUACGUAAUCAUUAAAAAAAAUAGACAUAUUAGCUCCGCUGAAUAUAUAAAUGAUCCUAAAUGAGUUUAAAUCAACUACACACGAGCCGGAUUUAUUAAAUGAGCUUAAUUUUAUGUUUGAACUAGACUUGUUCACUUAAAGGAACAAGUCAAGCUCGAACUUAUAUAAGUUAUGUCGAGCUACACUUGAUAAUAGUUUGAUUCUUUUAAGCUCUAUAAUAAUAUUAUGUUCUUUUUUUUUUGUUUGUAAUUAAUUAGUUUUUUUGAAAUAUUACUUUAAAAAGUGCGUGCUUGUGAGAGAAAAGGUGAGUGUUUAUCUGUUAAAAUGUGUAUUUUAACAUACAUAUAUAGAUGGAUUUGUUUUUCUUUUUGUGAGGGAGAGUGAGAAGAGUAUGCGUGUACAUUUAUAACAUUAUUGUAUGGAUGCAAAAUAAUAACUCUGAGAGAAUAUUACAGUACUAUACUAGCUUAAGAAUCCAACAAAGUAGGCAAUAAACAUUUCAUUCAUAAUUUUAUAUACAAAUUAAAUGGCUCUCAUUAUAUUCAGAGGUUAAAGAUUCUUGUUAACAAUUAAUUAUUCAUUCUAAAUACUUAAUUAUUUUAUCAAAUAACCAAAGUGUGACAAAAAAGGAAAAAGAAAGUUCUCAUGCUUCUCGUCUUUUUUCAUGGCAAAUAAUAAUAUAUUGUGCUAACGGUAGAAGAAGAGCGCACUUCUUUUUUUCUCACGUAUUUAUUUUUUGUAGUAUAUACCUGGAAACUUCAUUUUUGAAGUAUAGGCAGAAAGGUUUGAUACUGUGGUAUAUAAGAACUUUAUUGAACUGAUAAAAUUCCAAUUUUACAAGAAAUGCGAAAUAAAACAAAGAAAGAAAAUGGUGUGCAAAGUGUGUGCUUGAAAAGUAUAAUUCCCAAUGAAUUUAACGUAACAAUUAUAUUGCUUGACACCUCAACAGUUCAAGGAUUUGAGAGACUCUUAGCAAUUACAAGUGCUGAUUGGGAAGCUAAAAAGCUCGAAUGCUCGAUUAACCCUUUUUUUUUCCUUGUUCGAAUGCUCGAUUAACCUGCUCGAGUGCACAAACAUCACAAUCAAAUUAUUAUUUUUAAAAAAUUAAAAUUUUAAAACAUGACUAAAUAAUUGAGACGAGACAUUACUUUGAAAAGUUUGCAGUAACUCUUUCUGUUUGCAAGAUGCCAUAUCCCGAUUUAUGACCUCUAAUAACUAGCCAUGUUGCAACUUGAAUGGAAUGGGCGUCACCAUUCACAUGAAAGUGACUAAGAUAUUAAGCAGAGUUAGCGGCAUAUUGGUUCAAGGAAUUACUGGUUUGACGUUGUUAGUGUAAUUACACAUGUUUACAUCCUUGUAGCUGUGCUGUCUUAAUUUUAAGCAAGAUAAGAUACUUUAGGCCAUCACCAGGAACUUUCUAUUUAGAUUUUUUUUUUCCAAAAAAAAAAAAAUUCUAAAUUCUAAAAUACCCCAUUGCAACUUUUAUAAUUACUUCCACUGAGAGUGCAACAUUACACUACGGCCCCAUCUGCAACAACCGACAGAAUGUUCACAGCAGCAGCCAUUAGACGCACGAAGAGGAAAGCUAUGUCUUAGCUUGAUGAUUACAUUACAUUCAUAGGGAAUAUGUACAGCGUUAAAAACUCACAAUCCUCAGAUCAAAGCACAAAAUCACUUAUAUAUACAAGGAAAAAAAGAAAAGAAAAGAAAAAGGAUGACAAGCCUAACAAUAUCCCACACCUAUUACUGAUCAGUGCCUCAAUUGUUUCAUAUUUGGGCACAGCAUCUCAUGAAAGAUGAUGAUGGACAGCUAAAUAAUAUUCAGCUGAAGGCCAGAGGAGGAGGCCUCAUGCCCCAACUCCAGUUGGAGCUGGGGCGUUAUUGGUCUUUGAGGAAGCCAUAGUUGCUACAUGGAACUGUGAUGCAUACUUGUAACGAGGCCCUUCUCCUGCAAUCACCGGCGGCUCGUUUAGAAACGCCGAGUUGCUGCUAAUCCACCUGCAUAAAAAUAAUGAGUCAAGCACUAAUUAAAUCAGAUUAACAAAAUAAAGAAACAGAUGUGUAUACUUCGACUUACCAGCCGUGCUUUAGAAUCAAUUUCUCCAGAUUUGAUGCAGUUUCCGGGUCCAAGUCCUCUUCCUUUGCGUCCUGUGCUGGCAAAGAAUCCGAUCUUCCAUUUCUCAUUCUGGCAUCCUCAAAUACGUUUUCCUGCGUAUAUUUGGUAAGCAUCAGCUACUCGAUCCCGACUAAUUUUGAAAAGAAAAAAGUAUAGCAAGGAGACCUGACCUGACUGCGUGGGGAUAACAUGGAAAUGUCUCUGAGAUGUUCCUCCUCCUUUUGUUUUUUGGAUUUCCAGAAGGCCUGAAUUUCUUCUCUUGUUAAUGAACUAUUUCUCCGCAACUUCUC